rnacentral:rRNA from 1 species
GGUAGUAAUAACAAACCAACGUGUACUGGCGGUCCUUAUAAAUUAGAGAAACUCGCCCCCUAAUCGAAAACACUCGUUAAAUUUAACUAGAUUAUAGAAGCUUAUAUACCGCCGUCAAGGGUUAAUUAACUAUAUAAAAUCCUAGUUCCUUCAAAAAUUAUAAUUCAGGUCAAGGUGUAGCCAACAAUCAAGUAAGGGUAAGUUACAAUAAAAACGAUUUAAGGAAACAAAAUGAAAAUAAUAAUAGAAAGAGAAUCUAUAUGUACACCACAAGCCAAAAACUGUUAUAGAACUCAACAAUAAAGACGC